UAGGGAAUCUUCGGCAAUGGGGGGAACCCUGACCGAGCAACGCCGCGUGAGUGAAGAAGGCUUUCGGAUCGUAAAGCUCUGUUGUUAAGGAAGAACGAGUGUGAGAAUGGAAAGUUCAUGCUGUGACGGUACUUAACCAGAAAUGGACGGCUAACUACGUGCCAGCAGCCGCGGUAAUACGUAGGUCCCGAGCGUUGUCCGGAUUUAUUGGGCGUAAAGCGAGCGCAGGCGGUUAGAAAAGUCUGAAGUGAAAGGCAGUGGCUCAACCAUUGUAGGCUUUGGAAACUGUUUAACUUGAGUGCAGAAGGGGAGAGUGGAAUUCCAUGUGUGGCGGUGAAAUGCGUAGAUAUAUGGAGGAACACCGGUGGCGAAAGCGGGUCUCUGGUCUGUAACUGACGCUGAGGCUCGAAAGCGUGGGGAGCGAACAGG
rnacentral:rRNA from 1 species